rnacentral:tRNA from 1 species
AUCUGGAUAGUUUAAUUUAGAAUAAUAAUUUGUGAUGUUAUAGGUGUUUAUUUACUCUGGAUC